rnacentral:SRP_RNA from 16 species
AAGGUGCACAGCGCCUUCGCUCACGCCAAGCUUCGGGCGCUCACGGCACUGUCGCAGGAGCCGGAGGACAUCCGCGAGAGCAAGCGGCAGCGGACAGGCCCAGGCUGGC